rnacentral:rRNA from 1 species
UACGUAGGGGGCAAGCGUUGUCCGGAUUCAUUGGGCGUAACGAGCGUGUAGGCGGCCAGGUAGGUCGGUUGUGAAAACUGGAGGCUCAACCUUCAGACGUCGACCGAAACCAUCUGGCUAGAGUCCGGGAGAGGAGAGUGGAAUUCCUGGUGUAGCGGUGAAAUGCGCAGAUAUCAGGAAGAACACCCGUGGCGAAAGCGGCUCUCUGGAACGGUACUGACGCUGAGACGCGAAAGCGUGGGGAGCGAACAGG